UUUUUUUCUUUUUCCCUUAACGAUUGCAUAGUAUAUGGAGAAUCUUAAUUGGUAUAUGCUAAUGCACCUUCAUAAAAGACCUUCUUUAGGAAAGCUCUUUAAAAUGUUGAAGGAGCCUUGACUCUAAUGCUUUAUCAUGUUUCUGACUUUAAAAACAAAAUGUAUAAAGAGGGCUUAUUUUUUUCUUUGACCUGUCAAACUUCUAUCAGCCAGUGGUGAUAUUUAAAUAGUUUUUUAGCAUGGAGGUUGGAGUUUACAAACUCAUCAUUUAUGGACUCAGACUAACAACAUCUAGGAUGCCUGAUUCAUUUCUCAUGUAGAAGUGUAUAUCUGAGGGCUUCCAAGCUGGGGGCUUUUUUACACAUAUGGAAACGAGAAAUGCAUAUUUGUUUUCUAAAUCCAUGAUGUAGAAGGAUCAGAUGUGUAAUGAAAAAUGGAUGAUAAUCUUAACAAGCAUAGAGAUUUUUCUGAGUAAACAGUAAAUCUGUCAGGUGGACAGAUCAGACCCCACUUCUUAGGCCCAUCUGAUCCUGGCUGGGGCCAGUGAUGCAGAGCAGGCAGGGCCCUGGGGCUCUGCUACCUCAAACCAACAAAGUCUUGCCCAUUUAUGCACAGGUGACUUUUUGUUUUGUUUUUGUUCAGAAUACUAAUACUACUACUUUUCUAAACACUGAGGUCUAACACUUGGGAGAGGGUGUUUUUUUGUUUUUGUUUUUCCUCUGAGAAGGUAGUAUGCUGAAAGAAAGAGCUUUGUCUUUAGAGUUAGAGAGACUUGGGUACAAAUUGUAGUGUCUUAUUGUAAUUUAGGGCACCAGUAAAAAUAAAAUUAUAAGUCUAUCAAGGUAUUAAGUAUUAUCACACAAGUCACAUGUAUGUGUAUACAUACAUAUGUGUACAUAUAUGCACAUAAUAUACAUGUAUGUGUGUUUAAAUGAGCUGCAAGGAAAGAGAGGUGCUGUUCGUGCAGCUUGGCUACUAUUGCUGGGGAAACCGAAGUCUGGAGCCCAUUGGGACUGCCGUUCAAGGUUUCUAGUUUUCCACACCGAUGCUACUUCUUUUACUCUAAGCAACUGAGAAUUUAAUAAGAAGGGUAAGGACAAAGGGGCAAGCACUAGCAGGGACUACUCUAGGCUUCUAUUUAUUAAAGUAUAAUUUCAAAAACUCUAAAACCCAGAGUGUUACAAGAAGGUUGUGUGGAAAGGUUGCAUGCAGUGGGGCGGUCACCAAAAGAACGAGAGGACCAGAGCAAGGUGCCCAUAUGCUCAAGCCAAAAGCCCCUCUGCUGACUCCCAGCACAGAGAGGAAGACCACAGCCCCUGGUAGCCUUCCUUCCUGUGAGAAGUGGAGAUGCUACACAAACCCAUUCUCCCAAGACUCUGGGCCUGCCUGCAUUAGGCUGGUGCCUAGAGGAUCCACUGGUGCUGUACUUGCUCUCAGACUCUGUCUUUCUCACAGGCUACAAGCCCCAGAGAAUCUAAGGAGGAUUAAUCCCUCCCUGGGGAAACUGGCCACCUUCCUUUCAGGAUGUGAUCACCCUAGGUAAUAUUCAUCUCUUUUAUGUGCACACAUAGGCCCAGAGUUUAGUUUUAAUUCAGACUUUGCCACUUUUUAUUUGCACUGUCACGAUGAAGAUAUUUCACCCCAAAGUAACAUCCUAGAGUAAAUAUUCAAGAGAAACAAUGAAGGGACAAAGAAGAGAAAUCCUCUCUGCACAUCCAUGGAAAGGCCUGACUCUGGGCUAGGUUGUCUAUGGUGUCAGGCUUCUAUCAGGCCCUCCCAACACAUCCGAGCUCCUCUCCUUGGGUCCUUCCUUCUUCAGGCAAAUGUUGACAUUGUUUAGUCUGGCUGGACAAGACAGAUGGCAAGGCACCAAAGCAUAGGAUGCAUUUUGAAGAAUAAACCAAGAAUUUGACACAAUUUUGCACAUCAAGGCUUUCUACUACUUUCCCACUCAAAGAAAAGAAAUUAUAACAUAAAGUGAUCAUGACAUUAUUAAAGGGAUCUGUUCUAACCUAUGAAAUAUUUGUUUGCAAGCUUUUAGAUCACAUUAUUUGUAGACAUCUUACAACGCAUCUUGACAUAGUCACUAAAAGUUAGCAUGGAUGAAUAAAUUACAUCAUCAUACUUGUCUAAUGGGUUACUGGUGUAUGGUUACGCUACUAAACUUGCAGAACUCUAGUGCACCAGUUUUACUUAUCAUUACACUUGACAUCUGUUUGUGGUUUUUUUGCUCUUUAACCCUUCCGUACUACAGAACACUAAGGAAUGCAGAGGUGGGAAACUCUGUAAUCUGAGCAACACCUAGAUUGCAAUGGCUUUCUGCCAGCUACCAAGUGAGAAAAAGCCUGGACAACGAAGUGAUAAAAAGAGCUAUUUAUGCAGAUAAUUGAUAAGCAUAUGCUAAUGAACCACCUUCCUACUUCUACCACCAGACUAUUAGUACAUUUUAAGUGCUUGCCUAAGAGUGUGCUUGAGAUUUGCUCAUAGCCAGAAACCAGUUCUUGUGUAAAUUUUAGGUGUUUGGGGGAAAAAUCAAGUACAGUACUUCUAUUGCUUUCUAUCCUAAUUGAGCCCCCCUAGUCUGAAAAUAUUAGGGUGCUAAAACAGUUGAGGACAAUGCCUAAUGGAGAGUCUAGGCUUAUCCCUGAAUUCAUAGAAUUUGCUUUCAGGCUUCUCUCUGUCAAUACAAGAAAUCAAGGACUAACCAUAAUCCCGGCAAACAGUCUACAAUUCUUCUGCUAGUCCUUUGAGAUUGUCUUGCAUGCAUUAUGUAUGGUACUCAUCUGAUAUUAGCAGUUAACAAUAUUAACUGUGGUGAAAAUGAUGAUGGGAAGUAAAAAUUAAAAAUAGAAUAUAGCCUUACAGAAUUAGUAGUUUAAUGAGAAAAGAUCUCUCCCUCAUUAAUUUUUUUUCCUGUCUCCAAACCAAUCUUUGUACCUCCUACUGUUAUGCCCAUUUGAUUCUUCAAGCUAAGCUUUAAGUAAGAAGUUCUACCUUUGAUUAAGGAAGUUCAAUUAUUUCAUUAAUGAAGUGGCUAAUUAUGUCAAAACUUACAUAACGUACCUGUAUUCUUCACUUAAGUGAGAUAGGGUUGAAAUAGCUUUUUUCCUGAAGGAAAGUAGUUGAAGAGAGAUGCAACUACCUUUAACUAAUUAGGUAAACCCUGUACAAAAUUAAAAAUUUAUAAUUCUGGGCCAAUUGAGGUUCCAUGGUAACCUAUCAGAAAGUCAUCUAAUAAAGAAUAAACAGAUUUUAAUAAAAUCUACUACAAUACCCUUGAUCAGUAUGUAGGCCAUGGAGUUCUGUUUUGCUGUGACUUUGAAACCCAGCUCAUACUUGGACAUGAUUUAUUUGAAUGAUCCUCCCUGGACCAUAAUAAAUAGUUGAUCUUAACAAAUAUUAGUAACCAGUAACCAUCAUCUUGUUUGGUACAGAACUGACGCAUAAUGCAAAUGAGAGGAGCCAGUAUUUUUCGAAAUCUUGCCUGUUUGUUUUGAAACGGAGAUUGGUAUGUUAUAUCAUGGUAGCGAAAAGCUUGGAUCUGAAGUCAAACAACCCGGGUUCAAAUUCUGUUUCUUCACCCAUCAGUUGGGACUAUUAAUAAUAUUGACUUUGUAAAGAAUGUGUAACAGUUAGAAGAGUUAAUAUGUAUAAAGCAUUGAAUACAUCUAAUUAUCUGAAUAAAUUAGCAAAGCUGUGUUGAUUUGAGGGAUAGAUAUUCCCAGAUGUUAGACAUAUCUUAUCCCUUCAUUUUCCUGUUUUUCUCUUGCUUUCAAGCAACAUUAUUUUAAUUUUGUUUUUUAUUUAUGCCCUUUGAACAUUUUAAAGGGCUGGUCUAUUCUUUAGGGCCAGAGUUAAAAUUGUAAAACACUUUAAAUAUUGAUACCAGCUGGACCUGGGAAAGAAUGGCAGGGAAUAGUUAGGGCAACAAUCUGAGAUCCCAAAUUUGGCAUAGCCUGUCUUAGUAAGCAUGAUACCAAGGAAUUGUAACGCAGAAUAUUCUUUUAAAAAGGACCUGGGUUAAGUAUGUAUAAGGAUGCAUGUGUAUAUGUGAACCUAUGCAGAGUUUAUCACUGUCUUCUCAGGUGUUUUACUUAGCAAAUGAGCUCAGCAACAUUCCUCCUGAAAUUGCUUGCUCUAGGGUGCUUAACAAAUGGUUGGCCAUUUAAUGGCCCGAGGCAGAGCCAGGGAAGGUUAACACAGUGACAAAAUGGGCAUUAACUAUGAUAACAACUGUUUUCAUGGGGGAUUAUUGCUAUUAUAAACCUUAUCCAACAUCAUAAUGCUAGCAAUAAUUUUUCUUUUUCUCCCAUUUUAAAAUUAAGUUAUGCACCAGGAUGUACAUGACAGAGGAGACCUGCAAACUCAGACCUUUAAUGGCCUGUUCAUAAUUCUCUGUUGUUAUAAAAAUACCCCACUCAGAUGAAUAUUCUAAUGCUUGGGUAGAUUAUAUUACCCACACCAGAUGAAGUGUAUUUGGGAAGAGAGAUGGCAAUGUAUUAGACCCUAUUGUGACAAAGACCAAGACUUCUCUCUCCCAUAUUCUAUGGAACUUCAUUUUGACUAGAUUUGAUGUUCAUGGUUAGAGCAGCAACCUUGGCUUGGAUAACAAAAGACAGGGCAUGUUUAUAUGGAAAAUCUGUCCAACCGCACAUUGCCUGGUUUGGAAAGAACAACCUGAAGUUGUGUGUAACCUGGUCUCAUUAGCACAGAAUAUUAGCACAGUAGCAUUUGGAAGAUAAAAAUACCUGCAUAAUGUCAAAUUAUUAUGUAGUACACCUGAUGUACAGAUAAUGUAUGUCAACAAAAUUUCAAUUAAAAAAAAAACGCAAGUGCCUCUUGAGUAAGAAUGAGACAUUUCUCUGGUAAUAUUCAUCUGUGGAGCACAAGCCGAGAAGAGCAUGCAGGAGGCUGUGCUAUCUGCAGGAAAGCAUGGUUUGUGGGGAUAAGACUAGUGGGACCCCUAGUGGAGGUGUUGGAUAGGACAGGCCCCAUGAGGGGCUGUUGAUGGAGAGGGUUCCUGAGCCUUGGCUUUCAUCCACAAGAGGAAGGGGAGGGGCAAGGUCAAGCAUUUUAUUUCCUAAUUCACACAAGAUCAGGACUGACAAAUAAACUUAGCGUAAACUUGCAGAGUAAACACUUGCACUUGGGUCCCAGCAUAGCUGGUUCUCAAACAAGCUGGAAGAGAUGGCUUUGCUGACCCCAUUCACAGACUGAACUUUUCCUUCUGCCACUUGAGCCAGAGUAGAUUUGUCUCCCUUAUCACUCUUUUCCUAUGUGUAUCCUAUUCAUUUCUCCGAUUAAUUUUCUUAUCUUUUUUGGCCUCCAUUUUUACUAUUGAUCCUCUGCUUUCUUAGUUUUGAAUUACCUUCUUUGUCUGUUCCCUUUGCCUCUCCUUUUUUAGAAGUUACUUUCACUGUCUUACACACACACACACACACACACACACACACACACACUCCCAGAAAGCAGAAACUUUAGGAAUCCUUUUCCUAUUGGACCACUGUGCUCUCAGAUCCUUUGCUAUGCCAGCUGGCAGCCACUCCCCACUGACUGGCAGGGAUUUUUCCAUCAGUCACCACCAACUGUGGAAAACAGCCAAGAGGAUUUUCUUUAGCUUGUUCUUUCUCCCUGCAUGUACAUUUAGCUCAACAUUAAUUCUCUAGUUUCGAUUCACCAGCAGCAAGUUCUGCAACACAUGCAGUAUUAAAUGCAAGCUUCCUUCACAUCAUCUUAUUUUGGGGUUUGAAACAUGAUGGUUGCCUAUCAAACAUUUAGAGAAGAGCUAACACCUCUCCUUCUGAAACUAUUCCAAAAGAUCCCAGGGGAAGGGACAUUCCCAAACUCAUUCUAUGAAGCUGCUGUCACCCUGAUACCAAAACCAGACAAAGAUAGCACACACACACAUAAAAUUAAAGGCCAAUUUUACUGAUGAACAUAGAUGCAAAAAUCCUCAACAAAAUACUACCAAACUGAAUCCAACAAUACACCAAGAGGAUUGUACAUCAUGAUCAAGUGGGAUUUAUCCCAGGGAUGCAAGGAUUCUUUAAUAUCUGCAAAUCAAUCAGUGUAAUAUACCACAUUAACAAACUGAAGAAUAAAAACCAUAUGACCCUCUCAAUAGAUGCAGAAAAAGUCUUUAAAAAAAUCCAACACCCAUUUCUGAUAAAAAACCCUUCAGAAAGUGGGCAUAGUGGGAAUCUACCUCAACAUAAUAAAGGCCAUAUAUGACAAACACAGAGCUAACAUCAUUCUCAAUGGUGAAAAGCUGAAAGAAUUCCCGCUGAGAUCAGGAGCAAGACAAAGAUAUCCGCUCUUGCCACAACUAUUCAACAUAGUUUUGGAAGUCCUAGCCAUGGCAAUCAGAGAAGAAAAAAAAUAAAAGGAAUCCAAAUUGGAAAGGAAGAAGCAAAACUAUCACUAUUUUCAGAUGACAUGAUACUAUACCUAGAAAAUCUUAAAGUUGCUACCAGAAAACUGUUAAAGCACAUCAAUGAAUUUGGCAAAGUCUCAGGAUACAAAAUUAAUACACAGAAAUUGAUGGCAUUUCUAAAUACUAACAACAAAAGAUCAGAAAGAGAAAUUAGGGAAAUAAUACCAUGUACCAUCGCAUCAAAAAAGAAUACUUAGGAAUAAACCUACCUAAAGAGACAAAAGACCUGUAUUCUAAAAACUAUAAGACACUGAUGAAAGAAAUCAAAGAUGAUGCAAACAGAUGGGAAGACAUACCAUGCUCUUGGGUUGGAAGAGUAAUAUUAUCAAAAUGACUAUACUACCCAAGGCAAUCUACAGAUUCAAUGCCAAGGGCAUUUUUUCGCAGAACUAGAACAAAAUAUCUUAAAGUUUGUUUGGAAGCACAAAAGACCCAGAAUAGCCAAAUCCAUCCUGAGAAAGAAAAAUGUAGCUGGAGGAAUCAGGGUCCCUGACUUCAGACUAUACCACAAAGUGACAGUCAUCAAAACUCUAUGGUACUGGCACAAAAAACAGAAAUAUAGAUCAGUGGAAUAGGAUAGAGAGCCCAGAAUUAAACCCACGUACCUACAAUCUAUAACAAAGGAGGCAAGAAUAUACAAUGGAAAAAAGACAGCCCCUUCAAUAAGUUGUGCUGGGCAAAUUGGACAGCCACAUGUAAAAGAAUGAAAUUAGAACACUUCCUAACACCAUACACAAAAGUAAACUCAAAAUGGAUUACAGACCUAAAUAUAAGACCAGAUACUAUAAAACUCUUAGGGGAAAACAUAGGCCAAACACUCCCCGACGUAAACCACAGCAAUAUCUUCUUAGAUCCACCUCCUAGAGUUAUGACAAUAAAAACAAAAAUACAAAAAUGGGACUUAAUUAAACUUAAAAGUUUUUGCACAGCAAAGGAAACCCUAAACAAAAUGAAAAGACAACCC
rnacentral:lncRNA from 1 species